AUUGAACGCUGGCGGCAGGCCUAACACAUGCAAGUCGAACGGUAACAGGGAUCAGCUUGCUGAUUCGCUGACGAGUGGCGGACGGGUGAGUAAUGUCUGGGAAACUGCCUGAUGGAGGGGGAUAACUACUGGAAACGGUAGCUAAUACCGCAUAACGUCGCAAGACCAAAGAGGGGGACCUUCGGGCCUCUUGCCAUCGGCUGUGCCCAGAUGGGAUUAGCUAGUAGGUGGGGUAACGGCUCACCUAGGCGACGAUCCCUAGCUGGUCUGAGAGGAUGACCAGCCACACUGGAACUGAGACACGGUCCAGACUCCUACGGGAGGCAGCAGUGGGGAAUAUUGCACAAAGGGCGCAAGCCUGAUGCAGCCAUGCCGCGUGUAUGAAGAAGGCCUUCGGGUUGUAAAGUACUUUCAGCGGGGAGGAAGGGAGUAAAGUUAAUACCUUUGCUCAUUGACGUUACCCGCAGAAGAAGCACCGGCUAACUCCGUG
rnacentral:rRNA from 1 species